rnacentral:rRNA from 1 species
GUCUACGGUCAUGCCAUCAUGAACGCGUCCGAUCUCGUCUGAUCUCGGAAAAUAUAUUUGGGAGUCAGAAAAUUAAUUCAAAGGAGGUAAAAAUAUUAGCUGUGUCA